rnacentral:rRNA from 1 species
GAUGAACGCUGGCGGCGUGCUUAACACAUGCAAGUCGAACGGUGAACGAGGGAGCUUGCUCCCUCCGGAUCAGUGGCGAACGGGUGAGUAACACGUGAGCAAUCUGCCCUGGACUCUGGGAUAAGCGUUGGAAACGACGUCUAAUACCGGAUACGAGGCGUGGGGGCAUCCCCAACGCCUGGAAAGAACUUCGGUCCAGGAUGAGCUCGCGGCCUAUCAGCUAGUUGGUGAGGUAACGGCUCACCAAGGCGACGACGGGUAGCCGGCCUGGGAGGGUGACCGGCCACACUGGGACGGAGACACGGCGCAGACUCCUACGGGAGGCAGCAGUGGGGAAUAUUGCACAAUGGGCGCAAGCCUGAUGCAGCAACGCCGCGUGAGGGACGACGGCCUUCGGGUUGUAAACCUCUUUUAGCAGGGAAGAAGCGAAAGUGACGGUACCUGCAGAAAAAGCACCGGCUAACUACGUGCCAGCAGCCGCCGUAAUAC